GACGAACCGAGCGAACGUUGUUCGGAAUCACUGGGCGUAAAGCGCGUGUAGGCGGUCGGGCAAGUCGGAUGUGAAAGCCCCGGGCUCAACCCGGGAAGUGCAUUCGAUACUGCUUGGCUAGAGUACUGGAGAGGAUGGUGGAACUCUCGGUGUAGAGGUGAAAUUCGUAGAUAUCGAGAAGAACACCGGCGGCGAAGGCGGCCAUCUGGACAGAUACUGACGCUGAGACGCGAAAGCGUGGGGAGCAAACAGG
rnacentral:rRNA from 1 species